UGAACGUGGAGUUACUGUUUCCAGUCACAUUUCCUGAGGGGAGAGGAAGGGAGAACACGGGGAGGAACAUAUUAGUUGUUCACAUCAGAGAGUUCACAUCUGAUCUGCGAUGGUGACAUCAAUAGGUCACCAUGUUGGCAGCUGUAUAAUCAGAUUCAGGGCCAAUGAACCAGUAUCUGCCUUUACGAGAUUUAGCUGAACGUGAAAUGCAAGGUGGUGAAUAGCAUUCUAACAAGAGUGUGAAGAAAGAGAUAGAAGGCUGUCCGCUGCUGGAGAGGAAGAAAGGAGGGGAG